ensembl:lncRNA
AUGACAGAAUCACAUCCUAGAGAGGUAAUAAAGCAGACAUUUAGGAGGACACUGGUACCUGAUGACUGCUAUACCUGCCUACGACUGGAUUUCAGUGAUCACCUGACCCCACGUGUUUCCUGCAUCCUCACUUCAUCUGCUCACAUUGGGGAGGCUGCACUUAAGAUCCUGUUAUUUGGAGUUUGAUCAUGGACAGGACUUGUGAUGUCACGUGUUAACGGUAGGUGCACCUACUAAAAAAUUGAUCUUUGUUAUUUAAGGUAAGAAUGUCGUAAGAUGUAGUUCUUUAAUAAUUUGGUAAAGAUAAGAUUAGAAAAUGCCAGUUAUUAGAAUAAGAGAUAUUUUUACAUGUUAUUGCUUCAAAAUCUGUUUCUGGGAAUCUCUUGCUCUUCCUGUGGGCCUUAAAAAUUGCAGCUACAACUCAUUUACUCUGUGUUUAUGUUACAGCAAUAGAGGUGCCAAGUGUCCGCGAAAGGGAAAAGCUGAAAAGUUGAUGAACUAAGCAUGAUGUUACUAGAAAUGGAAAAACUGUAGAUUCCUGGCUGAAGAAAAAUUAUAUUUACUUACUUAGUUACUUAAACAUAGAAAAGAGGCCAUAUCUUAAAACAAGUGUUACUUGAGAGUGGUUUUCAAGGAUUUCUACUUUUUGUAAAAAAAUUUAUUUUGGGAGGGUGGCAAGUAAUGCUUUUAACUUUAAAAUUUUUUUUUGAGUAAUAAUUUGUGUAUCAUGAAAUUUAUCUACUUUAAGUGAAUAAUCCAAUUAUUUUUUGUACAUUUACCCAUUUGUGCAACCAUGAACACAAUCCAGUUUUAGAACAGUUUCAUUGCCCUGGUAAGAUUCUCCAUGUCCAUUUAUAGUCAAUUCCUGUUUUCACUCUAGCCCUAGGCAACCACUGAUCUACUUUCUGUCUCUAUAGAUUCAUCUAUCCUGGACAAUUAGUGUAAAUGGAAUCAUGCAGCAUGUGGUCCUUUAUGUCUAGUUCCUUUCAUUUAGCAUUACGUUUUUGAGGUUCAUUUGUGUUGUAGCAUGUAUCAGUAUUCCUUCCUUUUUUAUCACUGAAUAAUACUCCACAUUACAGACACAGCACAUUUUAUCCAUUUAUCAGUUGAUAUUUAGUUUUUUUUCAUAUUUGGCUAUUAUGAAUAACUUCUUACACUACAGUGUAACUUGUUUUGUUCCCAGUCUCAAAGCCCAAAGGAGAUCAAAUAUAAAUUUAAAUGUGUGAUUAUGUACUAAAUUUGAACAAGUGAUUUAUCAGAAGUGAAAAUACCUUCUAUAAUCAACACAGGUACAUUGAGUAUUUGUUACGUAUUAAACACUAUUUGAUAUUGUGGAGAAUAUGGUUAAGAUAGAGAUGUUCCCAUUCAAAUGGAGCUUCUAUUUUAUUGGAGGGAGACACAGUAAGAGAGGAGAGAGAGAGAAGGAAGGAAGGAAAGAAGGAAGGAGAAGAAAGAGAAAAGGGGAGAAGGAGUAAUGACAAGUGUUAUGGAGACAAUGAAAUUAAUUAAAAUUAAUAAGUAAGUAGGUAAUCACUUUAGAUUUGGUGGCCAAGAAGGGCUCUUUGAAGAAGGAUAUUUGAGCUAACGUCUAGAUAACAUAAAGAAGGCAGGGUAGAAUAAUGAGGGGGCACUGUGAUAUGGACAGAGGAAAGACUGUAAAGGUCCUAGAGCAAGAAUGAGCUUGCCAUGCUUGAAGAAAGUCAAAAGGCCAGCAAGACUGCAGUGUAAGGGCAAAGGGACAAGUAUUAACAGUAAGAGGUGAAAUGUGAGAGGCAGGUGAGGUCCAAAUCACACAAAGUUUU